rnacentral:rRNA from 1 species
GAUGAACGCUAGCGGCAGGCCUAAUACAUGCAAGUCGAGGGGUAGUGGAAGCUUGCUUCCAUGAGACCGGCGCACGGGUGCGUAACGCGUAUGCAACCUACCUCUAUCUGGGGGAUAGCCCGGAGAAAUCCGGAUUAACACCGCAUAAAAUCACAGUACGGCAUCGUACAAUGAUCAAAUAUUUAUAGGAUAGGGAUGGGCAUGCGUGUCAUUAGUUAGUUGGCGGGUAACGGCCCACCAAGACCACGAUGACUAGGGGAUCUGAGAGGAUGGCCCCCCACACUGGUACUGAGACACGGACCAGACUCCUACGGGAGCAGCAGUAAGGAAUAUUGGUCAAUGGGAGGCAACUCUGAACCAGCCAUGCCGCGUGCAGGAAGACGGCCCCUCUGGGGUUGUAAAACUUCUUUUCUCUGGGGAAUAAAAAACCGGGAUUUAUCCCUGGCUUGAAGGUACCAGAGGAAUAAGCACCGGCUAACUCCGUGCCAGCAGCCGCGGUAAU